rnacentral:lncRNA from 1 species
AUAAGCCUGCCAAAACACAUGUUAUUAGAGGCUAGGAACCCAGGGGAUCAAAUUUGAUUCAUGGACAAUAACUUGUAGUAUUGCCAUGCUCAAACCAUAGCUUAAAACAUAGGGGAUAGGGGUUUUUGAUUCAUAGUAGAAUAGGCAGAAAGAAAUCAGUAUGCUAGCAUGAGUGUUGAACUAUACGUAUGCACUAAACAGGGAUAUUAAAGCAGUAUAUAAACACAUUAUUGUGGUGCUGAAACUUGAAUCAGGACAUACCAGUUUCAAAGAAACAAAUAGAGAGAAAGCAAGCAACAGGUCUUGUAACAGGCCACAGUAUAAGCGAACAAGAGAGAAUAAUUUUGAGUGUAAGUGUUGGUUUUUGAAAGACUACCAGUGAUGGAUUUGUUAAUGAAAGAUUCGUGUACUUAUAGUAUAAAAAAUAAGCAGAAAUAAGGUAAGAAUACGAUUAAGGGAUUGCGAGAUCAAUCAGUACAAGACUUCCAUUAAUUAAGGAAUUCGAACUUAAACAGUAAUGAGCAAGAAAGUUAUUUAAGGGAAGAGAUCAAACAAGCAUUUUGUGCCAAGUAGGCAAUUUGGGGUAGGUACAUAAGAAAUUAGUUAAGGGCAGAAUUUUAAAAUGCACGGUUACAUAAAUAAGGUAAGAAAAAUUAAUUAGUAGACACUAAAUCAAGGAUCAGAGAUUUUGUAAUCACUGGUCCAUGAAUGAACCAAGUCAGAAAUGCUGAGGAAAGUUUUUAAAAUAAAUCAAGUCAUAGGGAAAUCAACAAAUAAGGAAAUAAACCAAUCAAACCUAUAAAAAGGGAAGUCUGAAAUUAACAAAAAUUAAAAGCCAUUUUAGAGGGCAGUUCAUCACAUAUAAAGAGCACAAAUAUGCUAAGCUGAAUUUAGAGCAAAGAAAUAAAAUGUCAUGUCAUUGCAAAAUCAGUAGGUAAUAGACUAUAGGAUCAUGGUAGUCACAUAGGUCAGCAAUGUAAAAGAGAGAUAAUAUCAAAUAGUAUACAAAAGGUCCAUUGUAAAGACCUUAAAAGAGUUGAGUGGAGAAUCAGAAUUGCUUAAAGAAACAGAGAUUGAAACAAAGAUUUCAAGACUGAGUUAAGCAACAGAUGAAACAAAUUCAGAAACUCGAAAUAGUUAGGAUUUUAGAAAUUAGACAAUUUCAAAGCGAUAGUAUCAAAUAGCAUACAAAAGGUCCAGUGUAAAGACCUUAGAAGAGUUUAAUGGAGAAUCAGAAUUUCUUAAAGAAACCGAGGUUGAAACAAAGAUUUCAAGACUCAAUUGAGCAACAGAUGAAACAGAUUUAGAAACUCGACAAUUUCAAAGAUGAAGAACAAGCAUAUCAUAUAGCCAUUGUUCUCAAACUCGGAUGAACCCCCAAAUUCAAGGGUUUUACCAUCAAUCAAGUGCAGAGAUGAGAGGACAAGUAAUCAAGGAAAAAGGUACUAAUCGAAGCAGGUUCAAAGGUCAAAGAAAGGAACUGAGACCAUUAACAUGCUCUUUCAGUAGCAGGAACUCAUGAGAAGCAUAGUAAAAGAACAAC